ACUCCUACGGGAGGCAGCAGUGGGGAAUAUUGCACAAUGGGCGCAAGCCUGAUGCAGCAACGCCGCGUGAGCGAUGAAGGCCUUCGGGUCGUAAAGCUCUGUCCUCAAGGAAGAAUAAAUGACGGUACUUGAGGAGGAAGCCCCGGCUAACUACGUGCCAGCAGCCGCGGUAAUACGUAGGGGCAAGCGUUAUCCGGAAUCACUGGGCGUAAAGGGUGCGUAGGCGGUUUUUCAAGUCAGAAGUGAAAGGCUAUGGCUCAACCAUAGUAAGCUUUUGAAACUGUUAAACUUGAGUGCAGGAGAGGAAAGUGGAAUUCCUAGUGUAGAGGUGAAAUUCGUAGAUAUUAGGAGGAACACCAGUGGCGAAGGCGACUUUCUGGACUGUAACUGACGCUGAGGCACGAAAGCGUGGGGAGCGAACAGGAUUAGAUACCCUGGUAGCACAGAG
rnacentral:rRNA from 1 species